rnacentral:rRNA from 1 species
UACGUAGGGUGCGAGCGUUGUCCGGAAUUACUGGGCGUAAAGAGCUCGUAGGUGGUUUGUCGCGUUGUUCGUGAAAACUCACAGCUCAACUGUGGGCGUGCGGGCGAUACGGGCAGACUGGAGUACUGCAGGGGAGACUGGAAUUCCUGGUGUAGCGGUGGAAUGCGCAGAUAUCAGGAGGAACACCGGUGGCGAAGGCGGGGUCUCUGGGCAGUAACUGACGCUGGAGGAGCGAAAAGCCGUGG